rnacentral:lncRNA from 1 species
AAAAUUAACAACACAAGCUAUAGAAGUGAGAAAAAGAAAAGAUGAACUCUAGGGUGUCUAGGGCAAACUAGAAAAGCUUUCAACAAGAAUAAUGCUAUAAUUUUUGGUUCCUGAAAAAAUUCAUCAUAGAAAUAGCCAAGAAGAUAUUCUAAAACCAAUGCCAUAGUAACUAGAAAUUUCCACAAUUAUUCACAAGAGUAAAAUUAUUUUCUAGGCCCUAGAAAAUAUACAUAUCACAUUGAUUACAUAAGGGCCUGCAGUGAACUUUUAAGUAUUUGUAUUGCAUAUUAAAACACAAUUUUAUAACAUACCAAAGCAUAGUCAAUACUACAAGGUUGGCUACAAUAAACAAUACACAUCCACGCUGGGCGCGGUGGCUCAUGCCUGUAACCCUAGCACUUUGGGAGGCCCAGGUGGGUGGAUUGCUAGAGUCCAGGAGUUCAAGAUCAGCCUGGGGAGCAUGGCAAAACCCCGCCUCUACAAAAAAUAUGGAAAUUAGCCAGGUGUGGCAUGUACUUGUAGUCCCAGCUACCAGGGAGGCCGAGGCAGAAGAAUCGCUUGGCUCCAGGAGGUUGAGGCUGCAGUGAGCUGUGGCGGCGCCGCUGCAUUCCAGCCUGGGCACUGUUACUGACAGCCAUCAGAGCUCAGAACCAUGCUGCUGCUCCUGCUGCUGCUGCUGCUGCUUGGCUGUUUUCAUCUGGGCCAGUGGAAUGUAAGGGAGAGAUGGCAAUUGAGGUGCAAAAGCUCAUCAAACACGAUCUGUGGAGGCACAGAAUUAAAGUAUGUCGAGAGUGGAAAGGAUCUUUGCUAUGAGCUGCUCCAACCUCUAAGAGCCGCCACCACCACCACCACCACUGACAAGACAGAGCACACGCCCUGUGCCUGGAAUUAUGACAGAGAUGGUUUAAUUUCAUGUAAUUGUCAGAACUGUGUGAGGAGCUGGUCAGCUCUGACCUGGAGUGUGUCUACCCUGACCGUGUGACACCGGGAUCAAGACCCUCUCCUGGGGUCUUGAGGACGCCACAUGCGUUGCUCUAAAGAGCGCUUGCUCCUAAGCCUCCUGCACAUGGAACUCCACCAUGGAAUCUGCUUCCCAGGAACUCACCCUGGGACCAGCCCCUCUGAGACUCAAGUCAACAUUUGGUCCUAGGGCUGCAAAGAGGAGGUGCUAAGAGGCCAAAGGCUACUUCCACCUGGAGAACGGGCCCCGCGUGCCAGCUCCCCCAAGGCCUGGCCAGGAUGCUCUGCUCGGAGGCCUGUCCUGACUUCCUCUGCUCAUUGCCACCUGAAAUUACCUAACCAACACCUUUCUUCCUCCCACCCUUCCACAAAUACUUAUUGAGCAUCUGCUAGGUGCCAGUUACUGUUCUGCACAAUGGCAAUUACAGCCAUGAAAGAAAUAAAACAGAAACAUUCCUGUUCUCAUGAAGCUUCCAUUCUAGCAGGGGAGCAGACAAAUAUCAAAUCAAUAAUCAAAAUAAUGUCACUUGGUGAUAGUACUGUGGGGAGGAAAAAGCAGGGAGUGGAGAGGGUUAGGGAGCAGGAUGGAGGAGACACAGUGAACAGGAAAGGGCUCACUGAAAAGGUGACUUUCGAGAAAAACCUGAAGGAGGUGAGGGACUGGGUCACAAAGCUAUUUUGGGAAAAAGCCUUCAAACAGCAGGAACAGCAAAUGCAAAGACCCUGAGGCCAGAGCUUGCUGUGUGUGUUCAAGGAAGAGCAAGGCUGCUCCAGUUGCAGUCGAGGGAGUAAGCAGUAAGAAGUGACCUCAGGGACUGUGGGAGGGAUCAUGGGACUGCAGGUUGCGCAGGCCCCCUAGGCCACUGUAGGGACUUUGGCUUGGACUCAGAAUGCGAUGAGUCACCAGAGGGCUCUGAGCACAGGAGAAAUGAACAUUUUAAAGAAUCACUAUAGGCUGGGAGUGGAGGCUCAUGUCUGUAAUCCCACCACUUUGGGAGGCGGAGGUGGGAGGAUCACUUAAGUCCAGGAGUUCAAGACCAGCCUGGGCAAUGUGGUGAAACCCUGUCUCUACCGAAACACAGAAACACAGACACACACACACACACAGACACAGACACAGACACACACACACACACACAGACACAGACACAGACACACACACACACACACACACACACAAAUUAGCUGGGCAUGGUGGUGCACGUCUGUGGUCCCAGCUACUCAAGAGGCUAAGGUGGGAGGAUGGCUUGAGCCCAGGGGACAGAGGCUGCAGUAAGCCAAGAUCACACCACUGCACUCCAGCCUGGUGACAAAGUGAGAUCCUGUCUAAUAAUAAUAAUAAUAAUCAUAAUCAUAAUCAUAAUCAUAAUCAUAAUCAUAAUCACUAUGGCUGCUAUGUGGAGAAUGACCGAAGGGGUAAGGGCAGGAACGGGAGGCCCCUUAGACUGUUCCAGUGAGUCCAGGUGGGAGGUGGUUGUGGCUCGGGUGAGGGCUGGGGUCAGAUUCUGGGGAUAUUUUGAAGGUGGAGCUAAUGGGAUUUGCUGUUGAUCCUUCCAGGGGAGACAGCUGUGUAGCCGGCAGCGUUGUGCACAUGCGUGCAGCCGGCAGCAUUUAUCAAUGAGGCAAACAUCGUGCAGUGGCCUUGGAGCCACACACACCUGGAGCCACACACACCUAGGUCUGGAUCUCAACUCCACGCAUCCUAGUUGCUCAUCUCCAGCAGGCUACGUCUAACUCUCCCAGCCUCCAUUUCUUAUAAACUGGGGAUAACAAUUUUUAUGUUAUGAGAUUACUGUGAAAAUUAAGUGAGAUAAUGUAAAAGAAGGUCUGGCACAAAGUUAAUUAUGAUGAGUUUAAAUAAUGUGGUUUCCUGUGAGUCCUGAAUAUACAGCAGAGAUCAGUCGGGGGAGGGGCGAAUGAGCAAAGGAUCCCUGCAGGGGAGGCUGGGAUCCUGCAGGAGGCACUUGCCAGAGCUGGGGGCAGUCAAGACGACCCAGGAGGGCAGUGGUGGGGAGACGGUGAGAGUCCACGGCCCACUUGCCUUCCCAAGUGAGGAUGGGGAAUUCCAAAGCCCAGGAAGACGCGGGUGGGGCGACCUUUAGAGAAAAGACAGUCAGAAGGGAAUUCCUUGGAUAAAGGCGGAGAUGUGGAAAAUGGGAACGCCACCAAAAUCUAGAGAGGAUGAGGUCAUCCCAGCUGAAGCCAAUCAAAACUUUCCCUGGAGCAGGCAAAAAAAAUAAAUAAAUAAAUGGAAGGGUUUUAGUAGGCCAGAAACUGGAGAUUUCUAGCAGCUGCCAAGAAAGGAAGCGAGCCCUGGGCCCAGAGCCCAUAAGCCCUGGGAGGCCCCACCCUGGCUAGAAAAAGAGACUGGUGGGUGCUGGGGCGCAGCCCAGAAGACAAAAGGGGAGGGGAAGCCAUCUGAGUUGUCUGGGGGUGGUGAUGGGGUGCGCUCCUGGAAAAGCCAUUAGAUCCUCGUCGGAGGCGGCCAGCAGAGCUCUGUGUCCCACUGCUCUGUAGGCAUUUUUCCUUAAGAAAGACAAGAAACAAGAUUAGUAUUCCUUCAAUCAGAACUGUUCUACUCAUUUAUACUUAGGAUGCUUUCCCAAUAAACCAGGGUCUAGCCAGGAGUUUAAACCGAGGGUCUGCCCUUUUUACCUACCUAGAGAGAGUGCUGGGAUUGAAUAAAUGUGGGUUCAAAUCCUGCUUGAUUGUGGGCAGGGGGCUUGACCCCGGAGUGCUGUGACAUGCAGAUCACACUUGAUUGUGGGCAGGGGGCUUGACCCCAGAGUGCUGUGACAUGGAGAUCACACUUGAUUGUGGGCAAGGGGCUUGACCCCUGAAUGCUGUGACAUGGAGAUCGCACUUGAUUGUGGGCAGGGGGCUUGACCCCUGAAUGCUGUGACAUGGAGAUCGCACUUGAUUGUGGGCAGGGGGCUUGACCUCAGAGUGCUGUGACAUGGAGAUCGCACUCACUUGCAUGUGUUUGGGGGUGGCUGGCUUCUCCCCUCCACCCCCAGGGUGUUAGAGAAUUGAAGGAGACAUAACGACCGUGAGAGUGGACACUUGGGCACACAGUCCAUUCUUUCCCGUGUCAGGAAAGUCACAGGCGCUGGCUUCCAGGGGUAGGAGUGGAGGGUCUGGAAUAGUGCCCCUGGUCCCAGGGCAGGAGUGUGACCCUUCUUCAGUGUCCUGCAGUUCAGACUCCCUCCCCCUGUGGUUCCACCAUCUGUUCCCACUUCUCCAAGGUCCCAAAUAAAUGGCAUAGAGCCCUCAGGAGGGGAGGCAUCCUUUUCCCAGACUCCCAGACCCCAUGUGGUCCAGGGUGCUGACGUCGGCCAGAAGCAGCCGUGGCGGAGCUUUUC